CUGGAAUUACACAUCUUUAAUCCCUAUGGCUGGAUACAACAUUCCCUUAGUUUACACCUUUAAUCCCCAACAAUGUAGAGAAGGUUUGUAGAAGGGAGCAGCUAUGUUUGAAAGUGACAUCUCAUUGAGAGGCAAAGUGAUGAAUCAGAGAAAGAUUUGACAGAACGAGUCAGAGAUAGGAUAUGUCCAACUCUCACAGAAUAGCACAGGAAAGAGAGGCUACUUAAGAGCAGCGUAGAGAGAGCAGAGAGUUGAGUUAGUUCUGUGAGUGCAGUUGAGUUCAGGCAAUGCAGUUGAAUUCAGAUGAGUUCAGUGCAGUUGGUGCAGUUCAGUUGAAUGUAGCUGAGUUUGUGCGGUUCCAUUCAGUUUGUGUGGUCAGUGAAGUUCAGUUUGUGGAAUUCAGAGACAGUUUAUCCAAGCAGAGCAAUUGAGCCAAGAGAAGCCAGAUUGAAUCAGUUAGCUUGGAAGAUCAGAUUGUACAAAGACUAGAAGCUUUCAGCCUAAGCCUAAGGAGAACAGAGAAAGAAAUACUCUGGCUUAUCCCAAGCAGUAUACAGGCACAGCUUGGGUACAGCUUUAAUCUCAUCCCUUCAUCUAAGGAGAUAAAAGUUACUUUUACAAGCCUGGUCUACAUUACAAGUUCUAGGCCAGCCAGAGCUACAUAGCAAGUCACUGUCUCAAAAAAUAAACAAAACCAUUAGUUUCCUUUAAAAUCAAAUAUGCUAGCAGUUGCAGUGGUGUAGGGAUGUAUAAGAUUCCACUUGGAAAGCUGAAGCAGGAGAACUGGAUGUUCUGGUCUAGCCUGAGUUACAUAGCAAGACCCUGCCUCAAAAACAGUCCCCCUCUAACCCAAGUGCUUAGUAGCUCAGGCCUGUAAUUCUAGCACUUGGAAGACGGUGGCAGGACAAUCAAGAUUCUAAGGUCAUCAUGAUGAGGCCAGCCCCAGUUACAUAAGACUCUCAAGAAAAAAGAAGAAAAAAAGAAAAAGAAAAGAAAAAAGAAAUGAAGGAAAGAAAGAAAGAAAGAAAGAAAGAAAGAAAGAAAGAAAGAAAGACAGCAACAGAAGCAGUGCAAGCUCUCGGCUUAUUUCCAUAAUUUAAGUACUUGGUAGAUGGAGGCAGGAGGACUGCUGUGUUUGGAACUAUCUUGGGUUAUAUAGUGAGUUCUAAAACAGCCUGAGCUAUAGGGUAAAACCCUAUCCCAAAAUUUGAAAAAAAAAAAUCAAGGGCUGGAGAGAUGGCUCAGUGGUUAAGAGCACUGACUGCUCUUCCAGAGGUCCUGAGUUCAAUUCCCAGCAACUACAUGGUGCAUGGUGGUUCACAACCAUCUGUAAUAGGAUCCGAUGCCCUCUUCUGGUGUGUCUGAAGACAGCUACAGUGUACUCAUAUACAAAAUAAGUAAAUAAAUCUUUAAAAAAAAAAGACUACCAUAACCACCAAAACCAAACAAAACCCAAAACCAUGUCAAUGAAGAAUUAAGUCUAGCAUUAGGGAGGUAGAGAGGCAGGACAGUUCAGAAGUUCAGCAUCACCCUCAGCAAAAUAGCGAGUUUGAGGUCAAUAUGAACUACAUGGGACUGUAUUUUAAAAACAAUAGAAGAAGGAAGCAGUUAGGCCGUGUCCAUCUCUUCUUCCUGGCCUCCAACUCCAUUCUCCCAGUCUCAGCCCCAGCUCUGUAGCAGACAACCUUUUGUGGCCUUUCCUCACUCUCUGUCCCUACCAGCAACAGCAUAGAUACACAACCUUCUAAGAACCAGAGGGAGCAACAGAAACCAAGGAAUAAAAUAGCCACCCAACAAAGACAAGACCUGAUAUCAGUGUCUAGAUUUACAGUUUCCUCAAGUGUAAAUGCCUAGACAUGAUCAUAGAAAAACAAUGACAACCAGGGCAGUCUGUCUCACCAGAGCCCAGCCCCCCUACCACAGCUGGCUCAGAAAAUGGCAACAUAACUGAGACACAAGAGAAAGACCUUAAAAUAGCCCUUAUGAGUAUGCUAGAGAUUCUUAAAGAAGAAAUGGAUAAAUCUCUUAAAGAAAUCUAAGAAAACAGAACAAACUGGAAGGAAACAAACAGAACAGUUCAAGACCAGAAAGUGGAAGUACAACCAAUAAAGAAAACUCGAACUCCGGGAAAUCAGGAAAUGAACAUUUACGGGUUUGAACAGGAAAGCCUCACCAACAUAGUACAAGAGAUGGAAGACAGAACUGUUAGACUGGAACCCCUGCUCAUCUCCUGCACAAGCUGGGAAACCCCAUCUGCCCUCCUCCCCCCCAACCCCACCCACACAGAGGAAAUGCCCUCAUUUGCUUGGAAAACUACUUUGGGCUAACGUGAACUCCUCAUCUCUGCAUUUCCAGCAACCCACCCAAGAAUGCCUGCCCAGGGGCUCAGCUUUGACCAUGUAUGGACACAUCCCAGCUCCUAGUUUACAUGUCAUCACUCCUUGCCUAAACUCUGUAAAACCCCGUUGCUUUAGCCCAGAUGUAUGAUGUCACCGAUCUCCACCUGUGAGAUCAGAAUAUAUCAGAGAUUGUCUCACUACUGAUUGGCUGUAAUAAAGACCUGACAGCCAAUAGUGGAGCAGGAAGUGGAGGGCAGAACUCUUGGAGAGGAAGAGACGCUGGGAGAAGAAAUCGGGUGCAAGAGAUUUGCCUGCAGAUAUAGAGGUCUCCAGCAGAGGGCCUUGAAUUUAGAGAUUUCCUUGCCUCGGUCUCCUGGGAUUAAAGUCGUAUACUGCCUGAGCCUAAGCGUCUCAUGACCACUAUGCCUCAAGAUCUCCAUGUCAAGAUCCAGGUCAGAAACCUGUCUAUCUACCUUAAGAUCUGGAUCACAGGUGAGCCUUCCAAUUCUGGAUUGUAGCUCACUCCAGAUAUAGUCAGGUUGACACCCAGGAAUAGCCACUACAGAGUCUGAGAAAGUCCUGCUCUAUGUGUGCUUUUGUCUGCAUGUAUAUAUUUUGUGCCCGAGGAGAAGAGGGAGUCAGAUCAUCUGAAAUUGGAGCUAUAGACAGGUGUAGGCCUGUGCUGGGAAUGGACAUAGGUCCUCUGUAAGAGCACCAUUGAGCCAUUGUUCCAGCCCUCAAGAUAUUUUUCAACACAAUCAUAAAAAAAAUUUCUCUACCUUAAAGAAAGAAAUGUCUAUCAAAGUACAAGAAGCCUACAGAACACCAAAUAAACUGGAUAAGACAAGAAACUCCCCUAGGCACAUAAUAAUCAAAACACUAAAUGUACAGAACAAAGAAAAAUAUUAAAAGUGCAAAGGAAAAACACCGAGUAACAUAUAAAGGUAGACCUAUUAGAAUAUCAUCUGAUGGGCUCAGUGGUUAAGAGCACUGACUGCUUUUCCAGAGGUCCUGAAUUCAAAUCCCAUCAACCACAUAGUGGCUCACAACCAUCUCUAAUGAGAUCUGAUGCCCUCUUCUGGUGUGUCUGAAGACAGCACAGUGUACUUAUAUAUAAUAAAUAAGUACAUCUUUAAGAAAAAGAAUAUCAUCUGACUUCGGUGGAAAUUCUAAAAGUCAGAAGGGUUCUAUAGACUCUUAGAGAUCACAGAUGACAGCCCAGAUUACCAUACCCAGAAAAACUUACAAUCACAAUAGAUGGAGAAAAUAAGACAGUCAAAGAUAAAAACUAAGAAUAAGCAAGAGUGUCUACCAAUCUAAGCCUACAGAAUGUGCUAGAAGGAAAACUCCAACCUAAAAAAGUUAACCACACCCAAGAAAACAGAGAAUAAGCAAUCCCAGAAUCAACAGAAGGGAGACUGAAGUGGAAACUUUGUUUCUUUGGAAAAUCAGUUAUGUGUAAUGCUGUUUUGCUGGGGCACACAGGGGAAAGAAUGUCUAGGUAAAGUGAACACAUGAAAGAAUGUUUUCCUGAAGCAGACCCAGGGGAAAGGAUUUUUGCUAUAGCAGACAUGUGAGAGGAUGUGUGAUGAAGGAGUAUAAAUACGACCCCACAGACAGUGGGACACGAACAUCCAGCAUUGGUUUGCUUGAUCCACCUCCCUAGUCUUCACUAGCUACACACAUGUAUUGGUUUGCCUCACACAGUAUGGGGCUCCAAAGAACUGCUCAAAUGGUUCCUGCAGCAGCCAGUUGGCAAGUCUUGCAGUUUCUUCAGGAUUGAACUACAGCUGCUGGUUCCUGUGUGGUGCCUUCCUGCUGAGAGGACUGGACUGUAGCUGCUGGUUCAUAUGUGCUAUUUGUCUGCCUACUGGAUUGGUCUGCACCUGCUGAGUUGUAUUUGGUGUUUGCUACAGGACUGAACUGCUGACAAAGAAGACUGAGCUCACCCCCUAAGAAUUAUUGCUAAUUUAAAAAAAAAAAAAAAGG
ensembl:lncRNA